rnacentral:rRNA from 1 species
GACGAACGCUGGCGGCGUGCUUAACACAUGCAAGUCGAGCGGUAAGGCCCCUUCGGGGUACGACGAGCGGCGAACGGUGAGUAACACGUGGGUGACCUGCCCUCAGCUCUGGGAUAAGCCUGGGAAACGUAGGGUCGUAAUACCGGAUAUGACUCCAUGACGCAUGUCGUGGGGUGGAAAGCCUUGUGCGGCUGGGGAGUGGGCCCGCGGCCUAUCAGCUUGUUGGUGGGGUGAUGGCCUACCAAGGCGACGACGGGUAGCCGGCCUGAGAGGGCGACCGGCCACACUGGGACUGAGACACGGCCCAGACUCCUACGGGAGGCAGCAGCGGGGAAUCUUGCGCAAUGGGCGAAAGCCUGACGCAGCGACGCCGCGUGA